UUAAUCCAUUUCCAGGCAGCAG
rnacentral:miRNA from 1 species